UACGUAGGGUGCAAGCGUUAAUCGGAAUUACUGGGCGUAAAGCGUGCGCAGGCGGUCUUGCAAGACAGAUGUGAAAUCCCCGGGCUCAACCUGGGAACUGCAUUUGUGACUGCAAGGCUGGAGUGCGGCAGAGGGGGAUGGAAUUCCGCGUGUAGCAGUGAAAUGCGUAGAUAUGCGGAGGAACACCGAUGGCGAAGGCAAUCCCCUGGGCCUGCACUGACGCUCAUGCACGAAAGCGUGGGGAGCAAACAGG
rnacentral:rRNA from 1 species